rnacentral:rRNA from 1 species
AGUGAACGCUGGCGGUAGGCCUAACACAUGCAAGUCGAACGGCAGCACAGUAAGAGCUUGCUCUUACGGGUGGCGAGUGGCGGACGGGUGAGGAAUACAUCGGAAUCUACUUUUUCGUGGGGGAUAACGUAGGGAAACUUACGCUAAUACCGCAUACGACCUACGGGUGAAAGCAGGGGAUCUUCGGACCUUGCGCGAUUGAAUGAGCCGAUGUCGGAUUAGCUAGUUGGCGGGGUAAAGGCCCACCAAGGCGACGCUCCGUAGCUGGUCUGAGAGGAUGAUCGGCCACACUGGAACUGAGACACGGUCCAGACUCCUACGGGAGGCAGCAGUGGGGAAUAUUGGACAAUGGGCGCAAGCCUGAUCCAGCCAUACCGCGUGGGUGAAGAAGGCCUUCGGGUUGUAAAGCCCUUUUGUUGGGAAAGAAAAGCAGCAGGUUAAUACCCCGCUGUUCUGACGGUACCCAAAGAAUAAGCACCGGCUAACUUCGUG